rnacentral:rRNA from 1 species
CCUACGGGAGGCAGCAGUGAGGAAUAUUGGACAAUGGGGGGAACCCUGAUCCAGCGACGCCGCGUGAGUGAAGAAGUAUUUCGGUAUGUAAAGCUCUAUCAGCAGGGAAGAAAAUGACGGUACCUGACUAAGAAGCCCCGGCUAACUACGUGCCAGCAGCCGCGGUAAUACGUAGGGGGCAAGCGUUAUCCGGAUUUACUGGGUGUAAAGGGAGCGUAGACGGCGGGGCAAGUCUGGAGUGAAAGGCCGGGGCCCAACCCCGGGACCGCUCUGGAAACUGCCCGGCUGGAGUGCAGGAGAGGUAAGCGGAAUUCCUAGUGUAGCGGUGAAAUGCGUAGAUAUUAGGAGGAACACCAGCGGCGAAGGCGGCUUACUGGACCGUGACUGACGUUGAGGCUCGAAAGCGUGGGGAGCAAACAGGAUUAGAUACCCGUGUAGUC